rnacentral:lncRNA from 1 species
UUUAGUAAAAUUUAUCCAACCCACUUCUUUUUUUAAUUCAUUCAAAACCCAUAAAUUUAUCCAACCCACUUCUUUAUUUUUCGUCACGAACAAACACAAAUAAAAAAACAACAUUUGUAGCAAAGAAGCCACUACGUUUGGUCUAAUGGUAAUGAUUUGAGUAGUAUGCUAAAGGUCGUAGGUUUGAUCCUCAACCCCAUUAUAAAAAAAAACAUUUUGUAGCAAAGAAGAAAAAGCUCGAAUCACAUGAAAAUGGAAGAAACGAACACAAAUCCAUCUCCACAAAC